CCUCCCUCAUGAGUAACAUGCCAUAGUCACUUCUCCCUUUUUAGCCUCCUUUAUUCCAUUCAGCACUCUGACAAUAACUGAGUCCUUCAGAAGAAUAAAACACUGCAGCUCAUGGAGCUGAUUUCACUUUGAGCGCCAUGGGAGAUGAAGACUGCAGGGCAGUUGGUCUCUUGUGCUGUUUGAAGUAUUUGGGAAGUGAGAACAAAGUGAAAUGGAGACCUCAGAGUGGGCUGCCUCUGCCAAAGAUGUGUGCUCCCCUUGUGUGGUGCAGAGCGGAUGCUGUGAAGUGGCCGCACAGCCAGGAACUGUAUUUCCCAGCCUCUUAUGAACUUGAACUAUGUGACUAGUUGUUACUAAUGAAAUGUGAGUGGAAAUGAGGUGAGAUAAGGAACAACUGUAAAACAAAAAGCUGGUGUUUCGCCUUUCUGGGGAUUUGUUCUUUCUCUCCCUGAGUAUGCAGUGUAGACUCGCCAUUUGCAUGGAGGCACAAUUGUAUGAAGGCUACACGGAUAUCAGCAAGAUGAACCAGUUCUGUCACUGUGUAUGUGUAUCUCUGCCAAUCUUUUAGAAGUUUAAAAUCAAGUCAUUUCUGAUUUCAUCCAUGUAUUUGAUAUGCUACAAUGAAUGUCAAAACCUUAUGGAGAAAUCAACCUUCUUUCAGAUCUAGGAAUUUCAAUGGUGAGAAAAUUUCAAGUUGGAGCCACUGAAGUUUAAAUCCAACCAGACUUUGGAGUAAAGUAUAUUACAGUGAAUGAAAGAGCUUUAGAAUACUUCUUUUAGAUAUUGUAGGGUUUUUUUUUAUAAAGUCCAAGAUAUAUAGAAUUCAAAACUCUUCCUUAAAAAUAAUUCAGUUACUCUUUCUGCCCUGAGGGCGAAGCCCAAACUUCAAAGCAAGAUUGAUAUGCCCUGUUCAGACCCCUGUUCACCCCUCUAUAGUCUAUGCCCCUGCCAUCAUGCAUCUUGCCUUCCAUGUAGUCACCCUCAGUUCUUUCCUGUUGCACUAGGAUGCAGUAUUGUCUCUCAUCUCCAGCUGUUGCACAGACAGUUCCCUCUACUAAGGUGUAACACUCACCUCCUCCCUCCUGCCUCUUUUCUUUAGCUUAUUUCUACUCAGUUUUCAGGUAUCAGAUUGCGUGUCACUUCUUCACUUGAGAAGCUUAUUCUGAUUGUUCUUCAAAGCCAGGUUAGGUAAGCUUCUGGUGUCUUCCAGCAAUAUUUUACAUGAUCAGAAGAUUUAACAUCUUAUAUUAUAAUUCAGUUGGUCCAUAAUAUUUCUGAUCUCGUACAUUUUGCUCUAUUAAUGAUUACUCUUGGGGCUGGUGUUAUGGCACAGUGGGUUAAUGCCUGCAAUGCUGGAAUCCCAUGCCAGCAUCUCAUGUCGGUACUGGUUUGAUUCCUGGUUGCUCUACUUCUAAUCUAGCUCCCUGUUAAUGUAUCUGAGAAAGCAGCCGAAGAUGGCCCUAAUCCUUGGGCCCCUGCACCCACAUGAGAGAGCCGGAUGAAGCUCCUGGCUCUUGACUUCAGUCUGGCCUAUCCUUGCUUUUGUGACCAUCUAGGGUGUGAAUCAGAAGAGAGAAGAUCUCUGUCUCUUCCUUUCUCUAGAACUUUGCCUUUAAAAUAAAUAAAUACAUACAAAAAUAAAUCUUUUUUCAAAAGUUCUUUUUGUGUGUAUGUGCUAUUAUUCUCCCUGUCCCCUAUGUUAGAUAUGGUCUUGUAUUGCUGAACAUGAUCCUCCACAAUCACCUUUUUGCUUCAGGCUACACACUUGCCUAAUG